UACGAAGGGGGCUAGCGUUGUUCGGAAUCACUGGGCGUAAAGCGCACGUAGGCGGACUCUUAAGUCAGGGGUGAAAUCCUGGAGCUCAACUCCAGAACUGCCUUUGAUACUGGGAGCCUCGAGUUCGGGAGAGGUGAGUGGAACUGCGAGUGUAGAGGUGAAAUUCGUAGAUAUUCGCAAGAACACCAGUGGCGAAGGCGGCUCACUGGCCCGAUACUGACGCUGAGGUGCGAAAGCGUGGGGAGCAAACAGG
rnacentral:rRNA from 1 species